UUCGAAGAAAAUUUUUAUUGAUUUUUUCGGUUCUAUUGAUUGGAAAUAUUAAGAUGAAAAUAAAUGAAAACACUAGAAUUGUUGGCUCCAAAGUGGUUCUUGUUCCCUAUAAGAAAAAAUAUGUUGAAAGAUACCACAAAUGGAUGAAAUCAGAAGAGCUUCAAUAUUUAACAGGCUCUGAACCUCUGACAAUUGAAGAAGAAUAUCAGAUGCAAGAAUCUUGGCACAGCGAUGAUAACAAGUGUACAUUUAUUAUCCUGGACCGAAAUCGUUUUGAUAAAACAAAUCCCGUGGAUUCAAUGAUUGGAGAUACUAAUCUGUACCUAAAUGACAUUGAGGAGCCUUUUACAGCUGAGUGUGAAAUAAUGAUCGCUGAAAAAUGUGCCAGAGGUCAAAAAAUGGGAUGGGAAGCGCUGAUUCUUUUGCUACGAUACGGAAUUGAAGCGCUGAAAAUAAACAAAUACAGAGCUAAGAUUAAAAUUGACAAUGAGAAAAGUAUUAAAAUGUUCAACAAACUCCGAUUUAACGAGAUAAGUAGGAGCGUAGUUUUCGAAGAAGUAACACUGGAGUGUGAUGCCAGUCCUCAGUGGAAAGAGUUUUUGUUAAAUGAAACAGCAAAAUCUUAUCACGAACCAGACGAUUGAUGAAUUGGGUCUAGGGCACAGAACUGGAGAUAAACGAUGCGCAAGAAGCUGUGAAUACUCUCAGGACCAGGUACUUCUUGCGCAUCAUUUCAUAUAAUGUACAGUUGAUGUUCGUAUGCGUGGCGAUUAAGUUUAAUUGAUCAUCAUUAACGACUCAGUUGCGUCACGCGUUCGAUCCCGUUAGGACGACCUAUUGCUCAAUCCAUGGCAAUAAAAAUAAAAAAUAACACAUUUGUAACUUACAACACUAAAAUUAUCAAUUAAAAAUAAAUAAAUUUUCAAUAACAAACUCACUUGUAUAAAUUUAAAAUAUAUUUUUUAUAUAUUUGUAUUUUUAAAAAAUAUAUAUCGUGAUAAUUUUAUACUUGGGUAUUGUGACCCGCGUGUUUAACUUCUAAGUUGAUGAAUCGUGAUUACUCGUUGACGCAAUGCGGUAGAAAUGAUGCGGAAACACUCCUUUAUUUUGUACUAAUUCCACGUGUUGCGACCGUCAUAUAUGCGCUUGUUUUUGACGUUACAGAGAAGUUUAAUUAAUAAAAUAAAUUAUU
rnacentral:misc_RNA from 1 species